AACGAACGCUGGCGGCAUGCCUAACACAUGCAAGUCGAACGAGACCUUCGGGUCUAGUGGCGCACGGGUGCGUAACGCGUGGGAACCUGCCCUUAGGUUCGGAAUAACUCCCCGAAAGGGGUGCUAAUACCGGAUAAUGUCUUCGGACCAAAGAUUUAUCGCCUUUGGAUGGGCCCGCGUUGGAUUAGCUAGUUGGUAGGGUAAAAGCCUACCAAGGCGACGAUCCAUAGCUGGUCUGAGAGGAUGAUCAGCCACACUGGAACUGAGACACGGCCCGGACUCCUACGGGAGGCAGCAGUGGGGAAUAUUGGACAAUGGGCGAAAGCAUGAUCCAGCAAUGCGGGGUGAGUGAUGAAGGCUUUAGGGUUGUAAAGCUCUUUUACCCGGAAUGAUAAUGAGAGUACGGGGAGAAUAAGCUCCGGCUAACCCCG
rnacentral:rRNA from 1 species